UACGGAGGGGGCUAGCGUUGUUCGGAAUUACUGGGCGUAAAGCGCACGUAGGCGGCUUUGCAAGUCAGAGGUGAAAGCCCGGGGCUCAACCCCGGAAUAGCCUUUGAGACUGCAUCGCUUGAACAUCGGAGAGGUAAGUGGAAUUCCGAGUGUAGAGGUGAAAUUCGUAGAUAUUCGGAAGAACACCAGUGGCGAAGGCGACUUACUGGUCCAUUACUGACGCUGAGGCUCGAAAGCGUGGGGAGCAAACAGG
rnacentral:rRNA from 1 species